rnacentral:rRNA from 1 species
UACCAGCACCCCGAGUGGUUGGGACGUUUAUUGGGCCUAAAGCAUCCGUAGCCGGUUCUACAAGUCUUCCGUUAAAUCCAGCUGCUUAACAGAUGGGCUGCGGAAGAUACUAUGGAGCUAGGAGGCGGGAGAGGCAAGCGGUACUCGAUGGGUAGGGGUAAAAUCCGUUGAUCCAUUGAAGACCACCAGUGGCGAAGGCGGCUUGCCAGAACGCGCUCGACGGUGAGGGAUGAAAGCUGGGGGGAGCAAAC